GCAAACUUGGUCAUUUAGAGGAAGUAAAAGUCGUAACAAGGUUUCCGUAGGUGAACCUGCGGAAGGAUCAUUAUUGAAUAAACUUGGUUAGGUUGUUGCUGGCUCCUAGGAGCAUGUGCACGCCGACUCCAUUUUUAACCACCUGUGCACCUUGCGUAGAUCUGAUACUCUCGAGGAAACUCGGUUUGAGAAUUGCUGUGCGUCAGCCAGCUCUUCUUGUAAUCAGGUCUAUGUUUCUAUAUACCCCAUAUGAAUGUAUUCAGAAUGUCGUAACUGGCCUUUGUGCCUUUAAAAACAAAUACAACUUUCAACAACGGAUCUCUUGGCUCUCGCAUCGAUGAAGAACGCAGC
rnacentral:misc_RNA from 1 species